rnacentral:rRNA from 1 species
AGCGAACGCUGGCGGCAGGCCUAACACAUGCAAGUCGAACGGACCCUUCGGGGUUAGUGGCGGACGGGUGAGUAACACGUGGGAACGUGCCUUUAGGUUCGGAAUAGCUCCUGGAAACGGGUGGUAAUGCCGAAUGUGCCCUUCGGGGGAAAGAUUUAUCGCCUUUAGAGCGGCCCGCGUCUGAUUAGCUAGUUGGUGGGGUAAUGGCCCACCAAGGCUACGAUCAGUAGCUGGUCUGAGAGGAUGACCAGCCACAUUGGGACUGAGACACGGCCCAAACUCCUACGGGAGGCAGCAGUGGGGAAUCUUGCGCAAUGGGCGAAAGCCUGACGCAGCCAUGCCGCGUGUGUGAUGAAGGUCUUAGGAUUGUAAAAUACUUUCACCGGUGAAGAUAAUGACUGUAGCCGGAGAAGAAGCCCCGGCUAACUUCGUGCCAGCAGCCGCGGUAAU